rnacentral:tRNA from 1 species
CGAGGCCGUGGCGACGCUGUUCGGGCCGCGCCGCCUGAUGUGGGGCAGCGACUGGCCGGUGCUGCGCCUGGCGGCCUCGU